AUUGAACGCUGGCGGCAGGCCUAACCCAUGCAAGUCGCACGAGUGGCGGCCGGGUGAGUAAUGUCUGGGCAACUGCCUGAUGGAGGGGGAUACCUACUGGAAACGGUAGCUUAUACCGCAUACCUUCGGAUGUUACCAGAUGGGCUUCGCUAGUAGGUGGGGUAAAGGCUCACCUGGGCGACGAUCCCUAACUGGUCUGAGAGGAUGACCAGCCACACUGGAACUGAGACACGGUCCAGACUCCUACGGGAGGCAGCAGUGGGGAAUAUUGCACAAUGGGCGCAAGCAUGAUGCAGCCAUGCCGCGUGUAUGAAGAAGGCCUUCGGGUUGUAAAGUACUUUCAGCGGGGAGGCGUUACCCGCAGAAGAAGCACCGGCUAACUCCGUGCCAGCAGCCGCGGUAAUAC
rnacentral:rRNA from 1 species